GUGAUAUUCUUUCCGAGCAGAUAAAUUUGCAAUGGUAGGAAUCUAAUUAAUCCAAUAAAAAUGAGGAAAAAACCCCCGCGAAACUAAAAAACCGAAGAAUAAGACCACCUUAUCCCUUCGUCAUCCUUCCCCGCCCACCUCGCUGCCCCCGUCCUCCUUCCCCACCCAAGUACGCCCCGUCGGCGCCGCCUCUCCCCCGCCACCGCACUGCCUCCCCCGAAACCCCCAACUCGCUGAGGCAUCUCCGACGAGCUGGAGGCGACGAUGUACGGUAUGCUGUCUUCCAACAUCCACGAUGGGUUCCUGGAGGUAUCGUGCGGGGGAGCUCGAGACUCCUCACCGCCGCCGACUACAACAACCUAUGCCAGUGCGAGAACCUCGACGACGUCAAGAUGCAUCUCACCGCCACGGAGUACGGGCCCUACCUCCAGAACGGUGAGAUACUCCAGUCUCCUUGGGUUCGGGUGGGGUGGGGCCGCGCUACCGUGCCGCUGCGCUGCUCGAUCCGCCGCUGCUAGGGCGUGGCGAUUCGCGAUCUGCCCCAUGCGAAUUGCGAUCGCGGUUGGGGAUUUGGGAGGAUGCGGCGGGCGAAGCACCGCGAGCUCGCCACUGACCAAUGCACCCCCCACCGGAAAUAUCUUCUCGUCUGGCCGUGUCGAGGGGGCGGCAGCUACGCCGCAGCCGCCACGCACCAGCCCGAUCGUGCUCGGAUUCAACACCGGGCACUAAGGUCGCGGCAGCAUCAUGCGCGGCGGGGCGGAGGCCGAGGCACGGCUCCCGCAAGAAGUAGCAUUGACGCCGCCGGCACUCCAUUCCUUAGUAACUCAUCGAUGUCUCUGGCGAGCUGUCGGCGCGGCCGGGCAUCAGUAGUGGUCUUCAGGAAGUGACUCGCGCCGGGAGUGAGUGCUACAAGAAGGGCUGGUAUGGCGAGGUACUGUGCCCCGACAGCGCCUCAUGCCGCGGCAACCGCGCCGCUGUGCUCAUCGGGCUCGGCCGCCUGGCAGAAGUGCUCCGCAGGUGUGAGGGUGCCGUCCGCCUCCACCUGGCGCGCACGGCCUCCUCGCUGGUCUAUGCCUCCGACAAUGUAUGGGUGAGAAUUCCUUACUAACUGGCUUACAGCGACAAUGGUACUAAGUUUCUAUUGUAUGAUUACCAAACCUAAGGUACCUUCCUAUUUCUCAAUUUUUAAGUUCCAGUCACUCCAUUCAUUUCAGUUCAACUUCGUAUAAUAACACAUAGCAAGAUCUAAAUUAUGCUUUGUUGCUUUGUACCUGUUUGAAAACACCAUUAAUAAGUAACACGUAUGGUAUGGUGCGAGUAGCACAAGGGUGCGGCUGAGGAGCCAAGGCUAAGGCUGUGUCACAUAAAUUUUGUACCAAGUCUGUUUUUUUUUUUUUUGCCUACUUGUUGCAUCAAAUGGUAAGUGGAAAUGAUGACCCAUUUUGCAGGAAAUUGUGAAGGGGGCAAGGAGUGGAAAAAUGGUUGAGGCCAUGUUCUAAUUAGCCUCACAAACGAGAUGACAAUUUUUCACGCUGACCAUCUCUCACACAUUGGAGGCCACAAUGAUUGUUGUUGCUGCUCCACCUCAUCACACAUUGAGGUCUGCAAUAGCAUUCCCGCCUCACUGAAUCAUCGUGUGCCAUCUUGUUUGCUCCAAUUUGUCCGAGUGAUUCACUGUGGCUUGAUGACCUUUUAGUUGCAAUGGUUGAUUUUUGAGGUGCAAUAGAUAUAACACUGUGUAAAAUAAAUCAUGCAUCGUUUAAGUGACGCAUUAUGUAGCUGAAAUUUAUACAAUAUCUUCUGUGGUGGAGAAUGGGUUUGCUAAUCAGUUCUUGACUUUGCAGAUUAUGUCUUCAUAUGGUGUACAAUACUAGUUUCAUUGCUACGAUCACCAUGUGAAAAAGGUGAUUUUAGAAAUUCGGCGUCGAUCCCGCCGAUCUCCUCAACGCCGGCGGGCACCGGGGUUGGUGGAGAUUGGGUGGAUCAACGCCUGAAGCUUCUAAUAAGGUAGUUUUAGUUGGUGUUAGUCUGUGGAUUAGGUUUAGUUUAGUGUAGUUUUAAGGUCUGGUUGGCCCUAUGAUGGUUCCAUCGGUUUUUGCUCUUCCAAGCCAUCUCCGGUGAGGUUGUCGGCCUCGCCAACCUCUCCUAUGGCGGUCAUGGGAGGUAUAUGGUAAUAGUUGUCUUGUUGAAGAUGCGUUUGUUUGGGUUGCGACCGGGGUUUCUAGUGGAGUCGUCGUUGGCGAUGUCCGACAGGUUGUUGUUCCUUCAAGCUGUUUAUGGUGUCUUCUCCUCCGGCGGUGAAGUCCCCGGUGGCAGCUUCGUAAGGUUUAUAGUCUCUCGUGUGAGUUUUCUUUUCUCAACUCGUUUCUGUUGGAGCUGGAUGGAUCUUGUUUCCCCUAGGUUGGGAUUGGGCUCUGGGUCACUGAUGUCCUCAUCGAUGAUGCUGGCUUUUGGAUCUGGGCUGUCGAGUUGCUCGACAGCGCCAGCGUUGUCCUCAUCGAUGAUGCUGGCUUUUGGAUCUGGGCUGUCGAGUUGCUCGACAGCGCCAGCGUUCUACUCUGCUACGACAACGAAGACGAUGGCUGAUAUUUCUUCACCCGUUCCUUCGCAUGCGAGAGCUCCUCAGCCGUGCCUAGUCGCAUGCUUCUACUGCCGUUGAUCAACAAUGUUUGAGUCUUUGGUGUGUCCUGGUAGUGCUUGUGCUUCUCGUCACCAUGAAAUGCUCCAGUGACCGGCGAACUGAGAAGGUGGAAGACAGAGUAUUUGUGUCCUCUGGUUGUAAUUUUUAUCUUUCUUGAGGACCUGUUUGUAAAACCUAGGGUGUACUGUUCAAUGCUUCAAUGAAUAUCCAUCCACCUUUCGCAAAAAAAAUAAAUAAAUGUCAUGACCUUGUGCU